AUUGAACGCUGGCGGAAUGCUUUACACAUGCAAGUCGAGCGGCAGCGCGGGGGCAACCCUGGCGGCGAGCGGCGAACGGGUGAGUAACAUAUCGGAACGUACCCCGUCGUGGGGGAUAACACAGCGAAAGCUGUGCUAAUACCGCAUACGACCUGAGGGUGAAAGCGGGGGAUCGCAAGACCUCGCGCGAUGGGAGCGGCCGAUAUCGGAUUAGCUUGUUGGUGAGGUAAAGGCUCACCAAGGCGACGAUCCGUAGCUGGUCUGAGAGGAUGAUCCGCCACACUGGAACUGAGACACGGUCCAGACUCCUACGGGAGGCAGCAGUGGGGAAUUUUGGACAAUGGGCGCAAGCCUGAUCCAGCCAUGCCGCGUGAGUGAAGAAGGCCU
rnacentral:rRNA from 1 species